ACCAUCUUAGCACAGCCAAUAGAGCAUGUGGCUUUUAACCACGUGGUUGUGGGUUUGAUUCCCACAGACGGCG